GCGUUGCUCGGAAUCACUGGGCGUAAAGGGCGCGUAGGCGGCCAUUCAAGUCAGGGGUGAAAGCCCGAGGCUCAACCUCGGAAUUGCCCUUGAUACUGUUUGGCUCGAGACCGGUAGAGGUAAGUGGAACUGCGAGUGUAGAGGUGAAAUUCGUAGAUAUUCGCAAGAACACCAGUGGCGAAGGCGGCUUACUGGACCGGUUCUGACGCUGAGGCGCGAAAGCGUG
rnacentral:rRNA from 1 species